rnacentral:rRNA from 1 species
GACGAACGCUGGCGGCGUGCUUAACACAUGCAAGUCGAGCGGUAAGGCCCUUUCGGGGGUACACGAGCGGCGAACGGGUGAGUAACACGUGGGUGACCUGCCCUCAGCUCUGGGAUAAGCCUGGGAAACCGGGUCUAAUACUGGAUAUGACUCCAUGACGCAUGUUGUGGGGUGGAAAGCCUUGUGCGGCCGAGGAUGGGCCCGCGGCCUAUCAGCUUGUUGGUGGGGUGAUGGCCACCAAGGCGACGACGGGUAGCCGGCCUGAGAGGGCGACCGGCCACACUGGGACUGAGACACGGCCCAGACUCCUACGGGAGGCAGCAGUGGGGAAUCUUGCGCAAUGGGCGAAAGCCUGACGCAGCGACGCCGCGUGAGGGAUGAC